AUGAAGUGAGCUGUCUGAGAACAUCUGACUUGGCGGACAGCUGACCUUUAUCGGAUCAACACAUUGAACAAUGGCACUGAUUCUUUCAGAAGGAACAGAGCCUCUAAGCAGCUCCUUUUGCUGCACUCCUCAUUUGCUCUUGCAGCUGCAGGAAGUUGAGCAACUCAGCCCACAAGUGUGCCACAGAAAUACACCCAGAACAAGAUAAGGACCAGAGAGUACUGAGACGCAUUACUAGCUAUUUUUUGGAUCCAGAGAGCGUGAAACAUCUGUCAGAAGAGCAACAGAGUAAAGCUGAAGU